rnacentral:lncRNA from 1 species
AAAAAAAAAAAGAUUUAGGAGAAACAAGUCCUGAAGCCCUGACCCUAACACGCAAGGGUUAGUGGAGAUGUGGGACUUGAACUCAGCUUCUCCGUUGAGUCUGGCUGUCUCCCGGACGCAGGCACGUGCUUGCACACCUCCACGUGGCGAUCCCGCCCCCUUAGUAGCGUCCUUAGCUCGGCACUUCUUGCGGGGAAGUUCCUCUUGGCCCAGACCCUCGUCCUAGGCCCCGCGUCAUGGGGGAAGCGAAAGGGGCAGCGUGGGGAAGUGGCUGAGGGGUCGGGUCCGGGGUGGUCUGCAGAGAGGCAGGCGACGGUGCGGAGCCGGGAACCACGGGCUCACCCGUCGAGUCGGACGGGCCCCGCGGGGGUGGGCGAGACACUGGGAACAGCGGUCAGCUCCAGAGGGCGCGAGGCGGGGCGCGCGGGGAGGGGGGGCGCGCGGGGAGCGGGUGCGCGCGCGGUUGGGGGGCAGUGAGGGUCGCCGCGGCGGCGCGCAGCACGGCUGGAACAUGGCGAGCGGAACUGGCGCGCGCGCCUAGCUGGCGGGACCUUUAACUCGAGGCGGACGCCGCCCGGACCCCGUGGAUAUGGAGCAGUCGCCGCCGCCGGCGCCCGAGCCGACCCAAGGGCCCCCGCAAGGAGCUGAAGGCGGCUGGAGCCCGAAUCGCCGCCGGCGUCGGCGCAGUCAAAGAAGAUGGCCACAGAGACAGCAGCGUGGUCAGAGUGGUAGGAGCCAGCCAUCGGCGAGAGCUGCUCCGUGCCUGGCUGCUGGGUGCUAGAGCCUGUGGCCCACUGGCUUGCCUCACUGUGAUUGGUGGUGGUGGUGACAGAGACUGCAGCACGACCAGAGUGGCUUUUCUGGCUUUGCCCGCCCAGCUGCUCCGUGCCAGGAGGAGAAGGAGACACCUAGAGCCUGUGACACCAUGACUUGCCUCGCUGCGGGUGGGUGGCAGCAAUGGAGACUGCAGUGCGCCAGAGCGUCUCCCACUGUCACCCAGGCUGAACUCCUGAGGCCAGAAUGAGACUAGGACAUGGUUCCUUUGCCUAAGUAAAGUGAGGCAGACAAUGGAAUACUUCAGACUUCAAAUUAGUAUGAUUUUCAAAACGUCAUACCUCGAACCACCACCAGAUGGCGAUGAGAAUGUUACAAAUAUUGUGCCACCAUAUAAUGCUUUCUCAGGCCAAGGCAUGCCAGAGGUAAAAUAAAAUACAUUUGUAACCCAAGU